UACGUAGGGGCCAAGCGUUGUCCGGAGUUACUGGGCGUAAAGCGUGCGCAGGCGGCUCGUUGCGCCCGACGUGAAAGCCCCCGGCUCAACCGGGGAGGGUCGUCGGGGACGGGCGAGCUUGAGGGUGUCAGGGGCUGGUGGAACUCCCGGUGUAGUGGUGAAAUGCGUAGAGAUCAGGCGGAACACCCGUGGCGAAGGCGGCCAGCUGGGCCGUCCCUGACGCUGAGGCGCGAAGGCGUGGGGAGCGAACGGG
rnacentral:rRNA from 1 species